UCUUUGAUUUUGACUAUUUUAGCAGUUUAACAGAUCUUUGAUUUUGUCUAGUUUAUCAAUGACGGUUCUUUGAAUUUGUCUAGCUUAACAGUUUGACAGUUCUUUGAUUGUGCGUAGUUUAACAGUUUCACCAUAGUUAGUAACUACUAACUAUGAUUUCACUAAUCUUUGAAUUUGUCUAGUUUAACAGUUUGACAGAUGUUUGAUUUUGUCUAUUUUAACAGUUUGACAGAUUUUUGAUUUUGACUAUUUUAGCAGUUUAACAGAUCUUUGAUUUUGUCUAGUUUAUCAAUGGCGGUUCUUUGAAUUUGUCCCGCUUAACAGUUUGACAGUUCUAUCAUUUUGUGUAGUUUAACAGUUUCACAGUUCUUUGAAUUUGUCUAGUUUAACAGUUUCACAGAUCUUUGAUUUUGUCUAGUUUAACAGUUUGACAGAUUUUUGAUUUUGUGUAGUUUAACAGUUGCACAGAUCUUUGAUUUUGUCUAGUUUAACAGUUUGACAGAUCUAUGAUUAUGUCUAGUUAACUGCAGUUAGGUUUCGUCUCCAAGCUCAACUUUUUACUAGGAGUUAAAAUAAAAUGAUGUAGUCAAAGGGGAGAGUUAUAAUA